CGGGUGAGUAACACGUAUGCAACCUGCCUGCCACAGCCGGAUAAUCGGGAGAAAUUCCGUCUAAUACGGCAUAAUGCAUCGACGGGACAUCCUGUUGGUGCCAAAGGUUGAUUCCGGUGGCGGAUGGGCAUGCGUCGCAUUAGUUAGUUGGCGGUGUAACGGACCACCAAGACGACGAUGCGUAGGGGUUCUGAGAGGAAGGUCCCCCACCACUGGUACUGAGACACGGACCAGACUCCUACGGGAGGCAGCAG
rnacentral:rRNA from 1 species